rnacentral:rRNA from 1 species
GAUGAACGCUGGCGGCGUGCCUAAUACAUGCAUGUCGAGCGAACAGACGAGGAGCUUGCUCCUCUGACGUUAGCGGCGGACGGGUGAGUAACACGUGGAUAACCUACCUAUAAGACUGGGAUAACUUCGGGAAACCGGAGCUAAUACCGGAUAACAUGUUGAACCGCAUGGUUCAACAGUGAAAGACGGUUUUGCUGUCACUUAUAGAUGGAUCCGCGUCGCAUUAGCUAGUUGGUAAGGUAACGGCUUACCAAGGCAACGAUGCGUAGCCGACCUGAGAGGGUGAUCGGCCACACUGGAACUGAGACACGGUCCAGACUCCUACGGGAGGCAGCAGUAGGGAAUCUUCCGCAAUGGGCGAAAGCCUGACGGAGCAACGCCGCGUGAGUGAAGAAGGUCUUCGGAUCGUAAAACUCUGUUAUUAGGGAAGAACAAAUGUGUAAGUAACUAUGCACGUCUUGACGGUACCUAAUCAGAAAGCCACGGCUAACUACGUG